rnacentral:ncRNA from 1 species
GACUGCCAAGGGUUCGAAGGUGCCUCCGGCGCGUAGCGCGGCGGGGGUUAAACGGGAAACAGGUGCGCCGCCGGCCAUGCCGCGGCUAAUCCUGUGCUGCCCCCGCAACGGUCAGCAGGUACAAAGGUGUCACGCCGCGCCAACAGGCCGCGGCAGCCACUGCGCAUCAUCGCGCGGGAAGGCGGCACCCCGGACGCGCCCCCGCCCCACAAGGCAGACAAGGCAGGCGUCCCCCUGCAAGCCCGGAUACCGGCCUUCGACCGAUCACCGGG